UAUUUAUGACAUAUAUAUAU
rnacentral:siRNA from 1 species